rnacentral:tRNA from 1 species
GGGUUGGUAGCUCAGUCGGUAGAGCAAUGCCCUGAAAAGGCAUGUGUCGGCGGUUCGAUUCCGUCCCAACCCACCA